rnacentral:lncRNA from 1 species
UCCCUUGGACAGGCAGAACAACGCAUAUGAACUGUAGAAGAAAACUCUUGGCCUAAUAAUAUCAAACACUACUCUCACAAGCCACAGACAAAAUUUCUAUACUAGCUGCCACCAGCAUCUCCCUUGUGCCAGAAGGAGAGGGAAGGGGCCUGCCUGCAACAGGAAAUGAGCUGUGCCGUGCUUCCCAGCAUAUGAGAGCUCCAGGUAGUCCCGGCCUACAAUGACUCUUCCAGACUACAGCCUGAUGGGAAAGUGUCAAUUUCUUGGAGCUCACCUGAGAGGACUUAAGAG